CGUAGGGACUACCUACGUUAGGAAACGAGGUGACUAACGUACCGGAAUAAAGAAAGCAGAUCGCAUGAUCAGUACGUUUUAAAAGGCGGCGUAAGCUGUCGCUAGUGGGAUCGGCCCCGCGGUGCAUUAGCUAGUUGGUAAGGUAAAGGCUUACCAAGGCGAUGAUGCAUAGCCGAGUUGAGAGACUGAUCGGCCACAUUGGGACUGAGACACGGCCCAAACUCCUACGGGAGGCAGCAGUAGGGAAUCUUCCACAAUGGACGCAAGUCUGAUGGAGCAACGCCGCGUGAGUGAAGAAGGUUUUCGGAUCGUAAAGCUCUGUUGUUGGUGAAGAAGGAUAGAGGUAGUAACUGGCCUUUAUUUGACGGUAAUCAACCAGAAAGUCACGGCUAACUACGUGCC
rnacentral:rRNA from 1 species